rnacentral:misc_RNA from 1 species
UCUCCGUAGGUGAACCUGCGGAGGGAUCACUACAGGCAUGCAAAAGCUCUGAAACCACUGUUUAUCUACCUGAAUCUGCUUCGGCGGGCGGCCCCAGGGCGGGGCCGUAGCCGCAAGGCGCCCGCCGAAGACCCCUAAACUCUGUCGUCUUGAGAAUCUCUGAGUAUCAUAUUAAACAGAAAACAACUUUCAACAACGGAUCUCUUGGCUCUG